rnacentral:rRNA from 1 species
GAAAUCCUCUGGGUUAAUACCUCGGGGGGAUGACGGUACCUGAAGAUAAGCACCGGCUAACUACGUGCCAGCAGCCGCGGUAAUACGUAGGGUGCGAGCGUUAAUCGGAAUUACUGGGCGUAAAGCGUGCGCAGGCGGUUGUGCAAGACAGGUGUGAAAUACCCCGGGCUUAACCUGGGAACUGCACUUGUGACUGCACGGCUAGAGUACGGUAGAGGGGGAGUGGAAUUCCGCGUGUAGCAGUGAAAUGCGUAGAUAUGCGGAGGAACACCGAUGGCGAAGGCAAUCCCCUGGACCUGUACUGACGCUCAUGCACGAAAGCGUGGGGAGCAAACAGGAUUAGAUACCCUGGUAG